GCGGGAUUAGUUGAGCGGUUCAACGCUACCUUCCCAAGGUAGAAAGAGGGGUUCGACUCCCCUAUCCCGCU
rfam:Candidatus Woesebacteria bacterium RIFCSPHIGHO2_12_FTLL_46_16 rifcsphigho2_12_scaffold_31688, whole genome shotgun sequence.